AUACGUAGGGUGCAAGCGUUAAUCGGAAUUACUGGGCGUAAAGCGUGCGCAGGCGGUUUUGUAAGACAGAGGUGAAAUCCCCGGGCUCAACCUGGGAACUGCCAUUGGGACUGCAAGGCUGGAGUGCGGCAGAGGGGGAUGGAAUUCCGCGUGUAGCAGUGAAAUGCGUAGAUAUGCGGAGGAACACCGAUGGCGAAGGCAAUCCCCUGGGCCUGCACUGACGCUCAUGCACGAAAGCGUGGGGAGCAAACAGGAUUAGAUACCCUGGUAGUCCACGCCCUAAACGAUGUCAACUGGUUGUUGGGGAUUUAUUUUCUCAGUAACGAAGCUAACGCGUGAAGUUGACCGCCUGGGGAGUACGGCCGCAAGGUUAAAACUCAAAUGAAUUGACGGG
rnacentral:rRNA from 1 species